rnacentral:pre_miRNA from 1 species
AACUGGCCAAACAACAGGACUCAAGCAUUUCGCCCCGCGUUCAUGUUUUUCCUUUGAAAAGAAUAAAUUUUUAUUAGGCUUGCUUUAGAUGAUGGUAUUCAAGUGCCAACGAAAUGAGGUUCAUUCCUUGACACUUAAUACCUUCAUCUAAACCAGCAUAACAAGAAUUUAAUCUUUUCAAAGGAAAAACAUGAACGCUGGGCGAAAUGCUUGAGUCAUAGCCGUUUGGCAAGUU